AGAAUCAACGCUGGCGGCGUGCCUCAGACAUGCAAGUCGAACGCGAAAGUCCCCUUCGGGGAACGAGUAGAGUGGCGCACGGGUGAGUAACACGUAGGUAAUCUACCUUUGGAUGGGGAAUAACAACCGGAAACGGUUGCUAAUACCGCAUGAUGCAGCGGCACCUAAUGGUGACAGUUGUUAAAGCGGGGGAUCGAAAGACCUCGCGUCUGAAGAGGAGCCUGCGGCGGAUUAGCUAGUUGGUAAGGUAAUGGCUUACCAAGGCUACGAUCC
rnacentral:rRNA from 1 species